rnacentral:rRNA from 1 species
CACCAGCCCCUCGAGUGGUGGGGAUGAUUAUUUGGCCUAAAGCGUCCGUAGCCGGCCGAGUAAGUUUCCCGUUAAAUCCAGCGUCUCAAGCGUUGGGCUGCGGGAAAUACUGCCCGGCUAGAGAGUGGGAGAGGUGAGCGGUAUUCUGGGGGUAGGGGCGAAAUCCUUUGAUCCCCGGAGGACCACCAGUGGCGAAGGCUGCUUACUAGAACACGUCUGACGGUCAGGGACGAAAGCUGGGGUAGCGAAC